GACGAACGCUGGCGGCGUGCUUAACACAUGCAAGUCGAACGGAAAGGCCCUGCUUUUGUGGGGUGCUCGAGUGGCGAACGGGUGAGUAACACGUGAGUAACCUGCCCUUGACUUUGGGAUAACUUCAGGAAACUGGGGCUAAUACCGGAUAGGAGCUCCUGCUGCAUGGUGGGGGUUGGAAAGUUUCGGCGGUUGGGGAUGUACUCGCGGCUUAUCAGCUUGUUGGUUGGGUAGUGGCUUACCAAGGCUUUGACGGGUAGCCGGCCUGAGAGGGUGACCGGCAACAUUGGGACUGAGAUACGGCCCAGACUCCUACGGGAGGCAGCAGUGGGGAAUAUUGCACAAUGGGCGGAAGCCUGAUGCAGCAACGCCGCGUGCGGGAUGACGGCCUUCGGGUUGUAAACCGCUUUCGCCUGUGACGAAGCGUGAGUGACGGUAAUGGGUAAAGAAGCACCGGCUAACUACGUG
rnacentral:rRNA from 1 species